rnacentral:rRNA from 1 species
CCGGCCGCGGGCCUUGCGGCAUCCGCACCGGCCGCGAGCUUUGCGGCGCCCGCCCUGGCUGCGGUCCCGCCUCCUCCCGCAUCGGCUUCGGUGCCUCCGGCUGCCUCCAUGGUGUUUGCACCCCAGGCAGCCUCCUCGAUGGGAUCGUCUUCGCCGCCGCCGUUUCACUUCGGUCAUCUCAUCACCAUCAAGCUCUCCGCAGACAACUACAUCUUCUGGCGUGCGCAGGUUCUCCCGCUCUUGGGGAGUCACUACCUGCUAGGCUACAUCGACGGAUCGCUUCCCUGCCCACCCGCGCUGGUAGACAGCGUGCACGGUCCGGUCUACAAUCCGGCCCAUCGCGUCUGGACGGGGCAGGACCAGGCGAACCUCUCCUCCAUCCAGGGGUCGCUCUCGCCGGCAGUUGCCGGCCUUGUUGUCUUUGCGAAGACGUCUCAUGAGGCCUGGACCAUCCUUGAGCGCACCUUUGCAGCGCAGUCCCAGGCUCGUGUCUCUGCACUCCGUCGUCAGCUUGGAGAGUGUCAGAAGCUUGACUCCACGGCCACUGAGUUCUACAACAAGGUCAAGGGCCUUGCCGACACAUUGGCCUCCAUUGGACAGCCCCUCACCGACUCCGAGUUCAACUCGUUUAUUGUCAAUGGUCUUGAUGAGGAGUAUGAUGCCUUAGUCGAGAUCAUCAACGAGCGGGGUAACUCGACACCCAUGUUGGCACACGAGGUUUUCUCUCGGCUUCUUCUCACUGAGCAACGGGUCGAGACUCGCCGCACCAGGGGCAUUGGCUCUCUCUCGGCCAACGUCGCCACCAAGGGUGGCCGCUCUUCUUCAUCACCCCGGUCUCCCUUGGGGCUGCCACCGUCGCCCGCCUCGGCCCCCCCACCUACUGCGACCUUACCG